CAGUAGCCACGGGAAUACGGAGGGAGCUAGCGUCGUUCGGAAUUACUGGGCGUAAAGCGCGCGUAGGCGGUUACUCAAGUCAGAGGUGAAAGCCCGGGGCUCAACCCCGGAACUGCCUUUGAAACUAGGUGACUAGAAUCUUGGAGAGGUCAGUGGAAUUCCGAGUGUAGAGGUGAAAUUCGUAGAUAUUCGGAAGAACACCAGUGGCGAAGGCGACUGACUGGACAAGUAUUGACGCUGAGGUGCGAAAGCGUGGGGAGCAAACAGGAUUAGAUACCCGCGUAGUCCCUGUCUCUUAUAC
rnacentral:rRNA from 1 species